UCUAGGGUACAAACCCUAGAAUGGGGCACGAGUCCCACCCUUUAUAAAUACCCUAAUCAUUUAUGAUGGGAGGGAUGGAGUAAGACAUUACAAGAAAAAGAGCAUUAAAUAGCUCCAAAUUCUCUCUACUUUUUCUCUCUAACCUUUUCCGUUUCCGAUCACUAACUUGAUCGUCGGAGGCGAAUAUUCCGACAACCGGAACAUUCGUUGUUUUACAGGUCGGACAGACUCGUUAUCAGUAAAGCGUGACUAGUAUCCGAGGAAAUCUAAAAAACACCCAAAACAAAAAUCAUUAAUUCCUUCCGUCAAUUACAUAUUUAACAACCAUUAAUUCACGUCCCUCCAAAUAAUGAAUAAAAUAAAAUAUACAUCCACUCCACCAAUCCUCCAUCAGCCAUUCAACAUAUCUUUCAACCUCUAAUUUAUUUAUUCCCCUUUUACCGAACAAAAAAAGCAUAAAUCUCAACCAUAAGAUAUCAAUAAACAUCUACCAUUACUUUUAAUACCGACGUACUAGUUACAUUAGCAGUGGGCACUUGGCAUCUUGUCUAUUGGCUGUAACAAGAAGGCAAUUAUCUAAACUUUGUUCAAAUAACCAUUGUUUUCUUGUUCAAUUUAUGUUUCAAAAAUAGAAACUCCAAAUUUAUGAAAAGCAUAUUGAAAAUAUGAAGAUUUUCGAAGAAGAAUACUUGGAUUUUGUAUUAGUUCCAUUAGGAUUACUAAUCCUGGGAAUAUAUCAUUCAUGGCUUGCGUUUACAAUGAUUAGGCGUCCGCUAAGAACGGUUGUUUGCCUUAAUACCAUCAUCCGACACCAAUGGGUUCACCACAUGAUGAAGGUUAGUUCCUUUCUCUUCUCUAUUAAAAAAAGAAUCAUUUAUGAUAAAUUGUAUAAACCAAUACCGAGCUUUAACAAUCAAUCGUUGAGGUACACUCCAAUUUCAGAUAUUUUUUUGUGUGUUUGUAUUACGAUUAUUUGUAUGAUAAUUAUUCUCUCUUGAUAUAAUUAGUAAUUUGGUACGACUAUGCUUAGAUUUGUUUCAUUUAUUUAUAACGCUUUACUUUUAUGAGUUUAUCAAUGAGGUUGUUGCGAUAAUACUUAGAUCACUCUUAAUUGGAGUGGACUACUGGGACAAAGUAUCAUCAAUCAUCAUCAAGUUGUUGACCUACAAAUCAAGUACUUUAGUCCACUUAAAGUCUUAAACAAAAUUAAUCUAAUUGAUGUAGUAGUCUAACUUGAACACUAUUAAACUACGCUAUUAAUUAAUUUAGUUAUUGAUAUGUAGAUAUGUCAUUAAUGUAAAAUGGAUAGACAUGAUUCUGAGCUAUAAAUUUUGCACCUAAAAAAAAAACCACAGAGCUAUAAAUUUAUUUAUUUAUUAUUUUAUAUUAUUUAUUUGUAGUUCUAUUUUAGCAAGUUUCUGCCUUUGUUAAAAAAAAAAAAAACAAAAAAAAAAAGUUAGAUUUUGCUGAAAUUGUGGGUGAUUUUUAUAGAAAUGGUUGGAAAAGUUGUGAAUUCCUAGAAUUUAUCACUUUUUGAUAAUAUAUUCCGUACAUAUUGUCCACGUUAUCAUUUUUUUUACUAGUUUACAACAAAACGGUCAAUUAGCAGUUUUAUUAAAAGAAAACCGCUAAGCGGUUUCAAUUAUUUUGUUUUGUGUACAUCAAAUAUAAAUAAGUAAACCUCUAAUUCAAUAAUUGCUUGAUUUUAUCCUAAAUAAAGUAAACCGCUAAGUAAACCGUCCAUGUCACUAUAAAAUUGCUUGAUUUUGUCCUAAAUAAAGGAGGUAUUCUAAAGGGAGGGUUGAGAGAGAUUUAAAAGUAUCUCACAGGGGCAGGUUGGUCAUUUCACGCGGGAUUUUAAUUUUGUCAUUAUAGAUUCAGUGGUACAAAAUAUACUUUCACUGGUACAAGAUAUAAUUUCAAUGGUAUUUCAAAAAAGGUUCAAAUAUCCCAUUAAUGUGUCAAUUUAUAUAUUGGAGCUUCACUGAUACAAAAUAUACUCUCAGUGAUACACAAUACAAUUUCAAUGGUACUUACAAAAAAUGCUCAGUGGUACAAAAUAUUCUCUCACUAGCUGUGGUCUCAAUACAUUUUUGUCUUUAUUGCACGUGAAACCAUUUCUGACCUUUUAGGUGGACCCCACCCAACCUUUUUUCACUCUCUCUAUAUCCCUCUUCCUUUCUCCCUCUUCCUAUUACAUUUGUUACAUUUUUUUAUGUUGUGAGACAUUUUCAUUGUCUCACAACCCUACAUUUAUACUUCCUCUAAAUAAAGUGCCUAAAAACUCUAAUACAUAACCAAGUGUGGCCAUGUGGGACUAUAAAGUACUAAGAGUACCAAAAUAUGGACUCCGUAGUUGAAAGGAAGUGUAGAGUUUAGAUUAACAUAGAAGAAAUAUGUGAAUGUCAAAUAACUUAGCUGGUUAAAUCCUACAAGUGUUAUGUCUAAGACGGUAAGACCUAGGGUCAAAUCUGGCCUAAAUGACCGCACUUAUGUAAUCUUACCUCAAACAUUCGUAUUUCUUAGGAUCAAGGAAAGUAUGGUAUUCUGGGAGUACAAACAAUUCGGAACAACCUAAAGGCGGCUACAGUUUUGGCAUCAACUGCAAUAACAUUGAGUUCCCUAAUCAGUGCUAUUAUGAGCAGCACAAGUAAUCUGACCUUUACAAUACAUACAACCAAGUAUUUAUCAGUUCUAAUAUGCUUCCUUGUAGCAUUCUUCUGCAAUAUGCAGAGCAUCAGAUACUAUGCCCAUGUUAGUUUCUUGCUUAAUGUACCACCACCCUCAGUCGACGAAGAUAGAGAAGAGUUCGUUGAAUAUGUAUCCCAACAAUUGUACCGCGGCAGCCUGUUUUGGUCUCUUGGUCUGAGAGCUUUCUACUUCUCUUUCCCCCUUCUGCUCUGGAUCUUCGGCGCUAUUGCAAUGUUAGCUUCUAGCUGCUUGUUGGUAAUUUUGCUCUGUGGCCUCCUCUCAUUGGUCCACGUGUCUAGCGUAUUAUCACCCUAAACAUUUGCCCCUCACAGGUCGCACAUGCAUAUCACGUAGGGCCUGUGACACGUGUCCACCUCUCAAAGGCGAACAAUAACGGGUAAAAAAUUUGAAUUUCAAAUCAAAGAUUUCCCCCUGCUUUCACUUUCUAUAAAUAGAAAGUUACCCCCCCUUUUCUCACCUUACAUUAACAUUUGACUUUUUAGAGAGAGAAAAAGAGAGAUUGUAGAGAGAAGUUCUCUGCUUUCGUCUGCGUCAGAGCAAGUUCAAGCUUCCGAGUGCUAGUAGUUCAACACCUAGUUUACCGGCUGUAGCGGUUUUCAGAUUUUUCAGAGAAAAAGCGAGGUAACCGCCUGUACCAUUUUAGCUUUCCUCCCUUUCAAUUUGUAUACCAUUUUUUCUCCUCCUGUAUACCUAGCUUUUUAGGGAAUAUAAAUGUGUUCUCAAUCCACUCACUCGGCACUGCCUAGGACACUUAGCCAAUCCCCCGGAACGGUUGAGUCUAGAACAGGGGGUGCCUUUUCUGGACUGUCGGAACCAAUAUUCUCAUCUCCGAAUUCCUCCCUCUCUGCGUCUGUGCAGGACACAAUGGCCAGAACGAAACAAACGACUAGACGGUCGAAGAGCCGGCGCACUAUGACAGUGCCAGCCGAUGAGGUUUUCCCAGACGGGGAACAGAGGGAUUGGGAGGAGAGCGGAUCUAACGAAGAGGAUCCCUCUACUUCCGGGAGCUCCGGGGUACGAGAGGUAGGCGGCGAGGGUACCGCCUCCUCUAAUGAAGUCGGCAGCGCUGAAGUCGGUGAAGGGUCAAGGGCCAAAUCUUCCGGCUCUGACCAAGAUAAUUUUGCGGCUGACUAUCAGCAGCCGCCUAAGGUCGCUGACAACCCCAACCCUAAAAGGACCCGAAUGCUACCGGCUAACAUCGCCCUCCUCAAGAGCGGAUUCAGGGCUUUCAAGGAAAAGCACCCCUUUAGAAGGGGUUGGGAGAUUAUCGUUCCUCCGGCUCACGCCGUAAUGGCUUGGGGCGAUGACAUAGACCAUGCAGACGACUACUUCAUCUGCUACGAGGCGGUUAUCGAAGCCGACCUCCGGUUCCCCCUCCACCCCGGGAUUAGGAAAAUCCUUAAGGGGUACGAUGUAGGAGUUUGGCAGCUCACCCCCAACUCGUGGGUGAAUAUUCUUAGUUACAUCGCCGCCUGCGAGUUUCAAAAUAUAAACCCCAGCUUUUCCGCCUUCGCUGAUAUGUACUACUUGAGCAAGGCCCCAGGCGGCCAUGGGGCAUGGUGUACUCUAACUACCUUGCCCCAAUACUUGAUGACUUUGGACAAAGUGUCCAAAUGGUCCGGGUGGAAGCACAAAUUCUACUUGAUUUCUACCCCCACUUUAAGACACAACCGGACACUGCGCCGGUACAAUACUGAGCCGGCUCUUCUAGGCCGGAAAUGCCCUCUCCCUGCGCUAUCUACUAAGGUCCGGGAACAAAUAAUGGAGUCGGGAUUUUGUGAAACAACAACUGAGUCCAUGGGGGAUGGGACUCACAUCAUAGUUCCCAAAAACUGGAUUCCCCAUCUAGACUUCUUUAAGGACGAGUGCUUCUUGUCCGCCUGCGGUCUGAGUACUAUGUUUCCCAGGGGUAGAUCACUUCUCAUCCGGAAUGAUUGUUAUUUUACUUCAAUUGCAAAGUUGCCAUAAUUUUUCUAACCAUAAAUUCUUGUUCUUGCAGACGACGCCCUGAGAAUGGUCGUUCCGGCGAAGACUCCGGCUAAGUCUGCGGCGCUGCUGCGCAAGGAGGCUGCGCUUGCCAAGAAGGCAGCCGUUGAAGCCAAAGACUCCAAAAAAGGUUGGGUAAGACCGUUUGACUUGAUGUGUUUGCAUUUUUUUUUUCUUUUUUUACAAUUUUCCAGUUAGGUAUACUUACCCUUUGUUUAUUUCUUAGGAUUCCGUCAAGAAGAUUCCACGAUCUUUCUCCAAGCUGCUCAAAAGGCAAGGAGACGAUCUGGAGAAAACUCCGGCUGCGAAAGCUGCCAGGAAGGGCCCUCCUCCUCCCUAGAAACAAUCAUCUACCCAAUCCGAUCGUCCAACGACCGGGGGCAAAUUGUCUGCUGCGAUGAGAAAAAUGAGCGAAAGCUCGGAACGCUCGCAGCAGAAAGCGCCGGAUGUCUCUACGACAUUGAAGGGUGGCGAGCCACCUAAUGUUGCAGGUAGUGCGGCAACGCCUGGGGAGGAGCAGAAGCCGGAGACCCAUCCGGAAGCCCAAGGUAAGGGACGGAUUGAAAUACCUUGGCCACUUGAUUUUAUGAGAAUUAAGACAAGGGUUGAUCCCUCUAAGGGGUCGGUCAGUAGCCGGCAACGAAUGAAUGCCGACUACGCUGCCUCUAUCUCACAGAGUACUACUUUUGAUGAAGAUCUGACCUCUGACGAGCCGGAUCUUGCGGGUUUCGCAAAACGGAUGGUGAGGACCCUCACCCGGUCUGAGAAGAACUCCAAACCUGAUCUGCAGGUCGUGGACUUCGACCGGAUAAUAGGCCAACUGGAUGAGGUGAUGGUAAGGGUGGAUGGCUUCCGGGGCCCCUUCAGGCGGAAACAGGAAGAGGUAAAUGACGCCAAACGAAGGGCCCUUGAAAACCUCAACUCUGCUGAAUAUACUGAUUAUAUGUGUAAUGUAAAGAUUAAAGCAGUAGAGUUGAAACAAGAGGAGUUGAUCUGGAGUUUGACGGCUGCGAACGACGAAGCUAACAGCCGGGCUGAUGACCUUGACAAGAAACUAAAGGAUGCCAAAUCAGAUCUCAAGGCAUUAGAAGAUGCUGAUAAGGAAAAUGCCCAACUCCGAGCAGACGUUACCCGCCUGGGAGUUGAGCUUUCAAUCUGCGAAACAAGCAGUCGGACGAGCUUGCCCAUGAGCAAAAACGGCUGAUAGAGGAGAAUGAGAGAGACAACCUGGCCCGGCUGAAGAUCAACUGGAGCCUUCUUUAACUAAAAAUAGACUUUGACGUCUAUAAGCUGAGGUAUGAUUACGCCACUGAGGUGUACGAUGCCCAACUACUGGGUGAUGCUCCACCGCCUCGCUUUAAAGAUUGGGUUGCUGAGCAGGGAUAUGAAGUCUCUGACAACGAGGAGGCGGCGGAUGAGCAUAACGAGGGCUAAGCCAGUCAAACUCAGUCGGAGCAGCAGCCACCUCAGCCUUAGGCAGGCCUCUCUACUUUCUGCGGCAGUAUGCCAUUUUGUUUCUUUACCGGCUUGUAUGCCGUGUAUUGUUGUAUCUUUACCAACUAAGGAGUUGGGUUAACAAUUUAUUUUUUGUUUCUUUACCGGAUGUAACUCCGGUUAACACAACUUAUGGCCUUCGAGCCAUUUUUAAUAUUUAAUGAAGUAUUCCGACUCAGUCGGUUAUUUAUACCUGUUUGUGUUUGAGUUUUUCAAUUUGAACUUUGCGUAUGUUUGCAAUUCUUUAAUAUUUUGCCUAACUUAAAAAAGCAUGCGGCAGUUUGCAAUCUAAGUGCUCUUGCCCCUGGGCGGCUGUGUGGUUGGUUUUAUUCUAAAUUGAUUGAUUGGCUUGAAAACACUUGAUACUAGGAAAAGUAUGGAGUGUUUUUAGGCCAAUCAAUCACAAUAGUGAUUGCCCCAAACCAAGUCCACAACCGGCCAUUAGAGCCGGUGCUUUGAGCUUCUUAUCCAGGCGGUUAUAUUCCGUCUGGGGUUAACCCGCAGCCAUUACACAUAAUCUCUUGCCCCAAUAGGGGAAGUGAGUGCAACUUUGGAAUAAAUAACCUAAGUGAGAACUUCAGCCGAUGACCGACUGAUGCCUCAAGGCAUCCGGUAUUCGGUAACUUAAUCGUUCUUUAGAUUAUUCUGGUCAGACGGCUAUGAGUUGACCAAUUUGGUCGUUCAAUUUUCACCAUCUGCGUUGGUAUAUAGAACCGACGAAUAGUCCGUUCUCUGCGACGAUUGCACCCGGAGGGGUGUCGCCGGACGCCUUUGUCCAUGUUGGGACAGGCGGUUUUGUAAAAUGAGCAACCAUCCAGCCAUAUUUGCCUUUGCUCUUGUUUGAGACCGGUUGUAUAGCCACUAAGCGUUUUUGUGCCUAGUUUUUACGCGAACUUAGUUGGUUGAACAAAUAAUCCGUCUGAGUAUUACCCAGACGGACAAGCAAUUGAUAAUUUACACCAAGUAUCGAACGUAAUUAAAUAAACAAAGAGUCUGUUUGAGCUUUACCCAGGCGGACUAGCAAUUAUAAGAUUACACUAAGUAUCAAACUUAGUUAUUCAAACAAAGAGUCCGUCUGAGUUUUACCCAGGCGGACAAGUAGUUAUAAUAUUCAACUAAACUAAGUAUCAAACUUAGUAAGUUAAACACACAGGGUCCGUCUGGGUAUUGCCCAGGCGGACGAACAAUAAAAAUGGCAAAAUAAAUCUGCAAACAAAGCCUGAAUUUUCAUUAAUUGACUUACUGUUUACAAAAAUUAUACAUUCUCAGAAGUAGUACUUUUUUAGGUUGUCUACAUUCCAAGUUCUAGGCAGGCGGCGACCGUCUAGGGUUUCCAGACGGUAGGUGCCGUUCUUGACUUCUUCAUAAAUCCGAUAAGGGCCUUCCCAUUUAGGGUUAGCUUCCUAGCCUCAUUAGCCCUACCGGUUGCCUCCAUUUUUCGUAACACAAAGUCAUCCACUUUCAGAGGGAGCUUUUGCCCUUUCUUGUUAUAUGCUCUGGUCAUUAUGAGACGGUAUAUCUCAUGGCGCAGGGAAGCGUUGCCCCUGCGUUCCGGGAGGGAGUCUAAUGCCAGC